rnacentral:rRNA from 1 species
ACUCCUGCGGGAGGCAGCAGUGGGGAAUAUUGGACAAUGGGCGCAAGCCUGAUCCAGCCAUGCCGCGUGAGUGAUGAAGGCCCUAGGGUUGUAAAGCUCUUUCACCGGUGAAGAUAAUGACGGUAACCGGAGAAGAAGCCCCGGCUAACUUCGUGCCAGCAGCCGCGGUAAUACGAAGGGGGCUAGCGUUGUUCGGAUUUACUGGGCGUAAAGCGCACGUAGGCGGACUAUUAAGUCAGGGGUGAAAUCCCGGGGCUCAACCCCGGAACUGCCUUUGAUACUGGUAGUCUUGAGUUCGAGAGAGGUGAGUGGAAUUCCGAGUGUAGAGGUGAAAUUCGUAGAUAUUCGGAGGAACACCAGUGGCGAAGGCGGCUCACUGGCUCGAUACUGACGCUGAGGUGCGAAAGCGUGGGGAGCAAACAGGAUUAGAAACCCUUGUAGUCCCAU